GCGAAAGUAGAAGCUGCCCGCGGCGUUCGCCUGCUCAAAACCCCGCUCUCGGGCCACCGAAUGGGAAACUGUGAGCCUCGGGUGACGGGAAAAUCUGGGAAUACACGAAAUUUUGUAUUGCUUUUGAGACAGGAGACAGCCUGACCUUGGGCAGUUAGGAAUAAGUGGCUCCUUGAUAACAACAAGAGGGCAGAAAGGACAGGACCGUCUGAGACACCCACUUCCUGGGACAAUCGGCCGGGGACCAUAUCCAGGUUCAGCAGCUGCACGGUUACUCCCCCUCAAGAUGUCCCGCCACUGUAACCCAUAGAAGCCCUCCCCUCGGAUGCCCUAGUGGCUUUCUCCUUAAGGAGCCCCUCCGGGGUGGCGAGAGUCUCUUUGUUUCGUCCUCGCCCUCGUAAACCUGGUGCCUGUGCUGCUCUUAACCUUGCUGAUCGGUUCCAUUUUUGAGAACACAAUCCCGGCUUUAAAAAACGGUUACAGCUUUGAAGGCUCCUUGGAGAUCUCCACGUCUUCUAACGAGGGCACUACAAGAAAACGAAAAUACCACACAGCGCAUACAAGGAGGACCUCUAUUUGAGCCUGGGCAUCCAGUUCUAGUUCAAUCUCUUCCUCCUCCUUCCCCCUCUCUUCGGCCUUCCUGAGAGGACCCCUGCCCGGUGAUCCUCUCCACCCCUUCUGCUGGUAAGAUUUCAGGAGGAGAUGCUUGGAUUCGCCACACUCGUCUAAAGCCCUGGCGAGCUCCAGACGAUCCUCAGAAGGAAGGAGACAAGUACAACUGUGAGCCUAUUGAAGACCUACAAUUCCUCUUCAAGAAGUGCAGAGAAGUGCUCCGCCCCUUAAACGUCUCAUAACAACACCAUGACCCCUAGGGCUUUAAUAUUUCUAUAUCUCACACUCUUAUGGUGCCGGCCGCCACGGAGAAUCCUCGAGGGGGUUCCAUUAAUUGCCGCUGCCUUUAUCUUAAGUGACUGCUGGAUCUGUGGGAAGGAUUCUUUAGGCACAGUCGUCCCAGCCCCCACGUCUGUGUGGCUCUGAGCCAAUGACACUGUCACCCCCUUCAUCUCCUCUACCAGUCCUUUCCCCGGCGCUCACAUUGAAUGGCUGUUCUUCAAAGCCUGGAAGGAGGAUACAGAAACUAAAAGGAACAACACCCCUUGGUCCAGUGGUACCCUCACCCUCGCCCGGUUGGACCGACUCCACCUCAACGCCAGUGCCAUCUUCCCAAUCUGCUUUGAAAAUUCAACGUCCAUCCCACACCCGGGUCUCUUCACAGGUAAUCUCCCCACAUCUCAAUGUAAUCUCACAUCCCAAGUCACUAGAGCCUCUGCGGAAGGAGACCUGGAACUCUUCCCGCUGUAGUUCUCUCAGUGCGUGUAAGAAAGAACACUGAUAAAUAUCACCUUUUCCUCGA